CGUAGGGUGCGAGCGUUGUCCGGAAUUAUUGGGCGUAAAGAGCUCGUAGGCGGUUUGUUGCGUCUAUCGUGAAAACCUGCGGCUUAACUGUGGGCUUGCGGUGGAUACGGGCAGACUUGAGUUCGGUAGGGGAGACUGGAAUUCCUGGUGUAGCGGUGAAAUGCGCAGAUAUCAGGAGGAACACCGGUGGCGAAGGCGGGUCUCUGGGCCGAUACUGACGCUGAGGAGCGAAAGCGUGGGGAGCGAACAGGAUUAGAUACCCUGGUAGUCCACGCUGUAAACGUUGGGCGCUAGGUGUGGGGAGCAUUCCACGUUCUCCGUGCCGUAGCUAACGCAUUAAGCGCCCCGCCUGGGGAGUACGGCCGCAAGGCUA
rnacentral:rRNA from 1 species